AUUGAACGCUGGCGGAAUGCUUUACACAUGCAAGUCGAACGGUAGAGGGGGCAACCCCUUGAGAGUGGCGAACGGGUGAGUAAUAUAUCGGAACGUGCCCAGUCGUGGGGAUAACGUAGCGAAAGUUACGCUAAUACCGCAUACGAUCUAAGGAUGAAAGCGGGGGAUCGCAAGACCUCGCGCGAUUGGAGCGGCCGAUAUCAGAUUAGGUAGUUGGUGAGGUAAAGGCUCACCAAGCCAACGAUCUGUAGCUGGUCUGAGAGGACGACCAGCCACACUGGAACUGAGACACGGUCCAGACUCCUACGGGAGGCAGCAGUGGGGAAUUUUGGACAAUGGACGCAAGUCUGAUCCAGCCAUUCCGCGUGCAGGAUGAAGGCCCUCGG
rnacentral:rRNA from 1 species